rfam:Valsa mali var. pyri strain SXYL134 unplaced genomic scaffold scaffold00005, whole genome shotgun sequence.
GCGACGAUAGAGUAGUGGUGAACUCACCUCCCUCCCAAUUACCAAGAAUUUGGGUGUCUAGGAGGAGACUCGGGUUCGAACCCCGAUCGUCGCA